GUUGUAUGGUUAAGUGACUAAGCGUACACGGUGGAUGCCUUGGCAGUCAGAGGCGAUGAAGGACGUAUUAACUUGCGAUAAGCCCAGAUUAGGCAGUAAAAGCCACUUGAGUCUGGGAUUUCCGAAUGGGGAAACCCACUAGCAUAAGCUAGUAUCGCUGCGUGAAUACAUAGCGCAGCGAAGCGAACCGGGGGAACUGAAACAUCUAAGUACCCCGAGGAAAAGAAAUCAACCGAGAUUCCG
rnacentral:rRNA from 1 species